UUUAAGUUUACAUGACAAAAGCAAAGAAAAGAAAAAUAUGCCCUUAUUUUUUGUUCUCACCUAAACUACAUUCCAAGUUGAAUACGUAUAUCUCUCCCUCUCUCUUUCUAUAUCUUUCAAUCUUAUCUCCGUUUUUCACUUCCCUACAAAAUGCAAUCAAAGACCUGCGAAUUGUGAUCUUCUGUUUGUUUUCAUGGCUACCAUACUUAAGUCUUUCACCGUUCCUUGCUCCCCUGCUUUGCCUAAACCUAUAAUUUUUUUUCCUUUUGUUAUUGCUUUUUCGAUCUCUUCUAUUAACUGAAAUCGACCAUGUGCUUACCCAAAGCUAGAGAUCUCAAAUUUAGUUUCAAAUCCUCCAUGACUCACACUUUUGAAUCAGCAACUCAGAUUCUGGAUCGUUCUAGACUCAUUGUGGCGCAAGAAUUGUGUGAGACACAAAACGCUAUUGUUGAAGGUUGAAGGUAGAUUCAAAUUUUGAUUUUUUUUUCUUUAAAUUAUUUUUAAAAUAUUUUAUCUUAUUUUUAUAAGUUAAUUUAUUUGGGAUGUUUUCAUUACAAUGAGCAGAGGAGUUAUGUUUUUAAGUGGAAAAGUGAUAUAAGUAUUGAUAGGAACUUUAUUACAAUUGCUAGAUAAAGUUUAUUUAAGCAUUUUAUAAUUGAGCAAUUACCAUGAUGAUUAAGACUGUGUUGUAACUUAAAUUAAUACUAAUAUUAACAAUUAUGUGUUCAAUGUUCUCUAAUAAGUUCUAUUAGAGUUGUUAAAUUUUAUAUGAGUUUAUUUAUAUUUUUAAACUAUAGGUAAGUUUACAAGAUUGCAUAUAAAUUGAAAGAGAUGGUUUGGUUUCUCACAUCAUUUUGUGUAUAUAUAUAUAAAGGAGAAUAUGGCUAUUCUCGUAUUGCUUAUGUGUUAUCUUCAAUAUUAUAAAGAAAUCAAUAUUGCCUAAUUAUUAUUC
rnacentral:lncRNA from 1 species